rnacentral:misc_RNA from 1 species
AACUUUUAGCAACGGAUCUCUUGGCUCUCGCAACGAUGAAGAACGCAGCGAAAUGCGAUAAGUAGUGUGAAUUGCAGAAUUCAGUGAAUCAUCGAAUCUUUGAACGCACAUUGCGCUUCCUGGUAUUCCGGGGAGCAUGCUCGUUUCAGAAUCAUUAAAACCUCACAACCCACUGGGAGUAACUCUCUCGGCUGGCAAGUGGACUUGAGCAUUUUGUCUUACCGGCAAUUGCUUUAAAAUGAUUUUUGAUGGUCUACUUUACCAUGUAGAACAUUGCAAAGUGCAACAGUUUUGCUAUUUCACUUUGGAAUGUGAUGGGUGGUAAUAGUGGCACAGCACUGGCGUAACUGCCAACCCAACCCAGAGUCUCGGUGCGAAAGCAUCAGGCUCUGACAACUUGGUCUGAAAUCGAGCAAGAAAACCCGCUGAACUUAAGCAUAUCAAUAAGCGGAGGCU